rnacentral:rRNA from 1 species
AUUGAACGCUGGCGGCAGGCUUAACACAUGCAAGUCGAGCGGGGUGAUGGUGCUUGCACUAUCACUUAGCGGCGGACGGGUGAGUAAUGCUUAGGAAUCUGCCUGUUAGUGGGGGACAACAUCUCGAAAGGGAUGCUAAUACCGCAUACGUCCUACGGGAGAAAGCAGGGGAUCACUUGUGACCUUGCGCUAAUAGAUGAGCCUAAGUCGGAUUAGCUGGUUGGUGGGGUAAAGGCCUACCAAGGCGACGAUCUGUAGCGGGUCUGAGAGGAUGAUCCGCCACACUGGGACUGAGACACGGCCCAGACUCCUACGGGAGGCAGCAGUGGGGAAUAUUGGACAAUGGGGGGAACCCUGAUCCAGCCAUGCCGCGUGUGUGAAGAAGGCCUUAUGGUUGUAAAGCACUUUAAGCGAGGAGGAGGCUCUUUUGGUUAAUACCCAAAAUGAGUGGACGUUACUCGCAGAAUAAGCACCGGCUAACUCUGUGCCAGCCGCCGCCGUAA